rnacentral:rRNA from 1 species
CCAGCAGCUGCGGUAAUUCCAGCUCCAAUAGCGUAUAUUAAAGUUGUUGCAGUUAAAAAGCUCGUAGUUGAAUUUCUGUACAGGACAGCCGAUUCGCCUAGUGUGUAAUCCUGGUUCGACCUGUGCAUUUUUCUGGAGAACGUUUCUGUACUUGAUUGUAUGGAGCGGUAUCCAGAAGUUUUACUUUGAGAAAAUUAGAGUGUUUCAAGCAGGCGUCUGUCUUGAAUACUACAGCAUGGAAUAAUAACAUAGGACUUUGGUUCUAUUUUGUUGGUUUCUAGAACCGAAGUAAUGAUUAAUAGGGAUAGUUGGGGGCAUUCGUAUUUGACUGUCAGAGGUGAAAUUCUUGGAUUAGUCAAAGACGAACUACUGCGAAAGCAUUUGCCAAGGAUGUUUUCAUUAAUCAAGAACGAAAGU